rnacentral:rRNA from 1 species
CCUACGUGUGGCAGCAGUGAGGAAUAUUGGUCAAUGGGCGUAAGCCUGAACCAGCCAAGUCGCGUGAGGGAUGAAGGUUCUAUGGAUCGUAAACCUCUUUUAUAAGGGAAUAAAGUACGGGACGUGUCCCGUUUUGUAUGUACCUUAUGAAUAAGGAUCGGCUAACUCCGUGCUAGCAGCCGCGGUAAUACGGAGGAUCCGAGCGUUCUCCGGAUUUAUUGGUUUUAAAGGGUGCGUAGGCGGACUUUUAAGUCAGCUGGGAAAGUCUGUGGCUCAACCAUAGAAUUGCCGUUGAAACUGGGAGGCUAUAGGAUGUUUGAGGUAGGCGGAAUUCGUGGUGUAGCGGUGAAAUGCUUAGAUAUCACGAAGAACCCCGAUUGCGAAGGCAGCUUACUAAACUGUGACUGACAUUGAUGCUCGAAAGUGUGGGUAUCAAACAGGAUUAGAUACCACGGUAGUC